rnacentral:rRNA from 1 species
UCGGAACAUGUCCUGGAGUGGGGGAUAGCUCGGCGAAAGCCGGAUUAAUACCGCAUACGCUCUGAGGAGGAAAGCGGGGGACCUGGUAACGGGCCUCGCGCUGCGGGAGUGGCCGAUGUCGGAUUAGCUAGUUGGUGAGGUAAAGGCUCACCAAGGCGACGAUCCGUAGCUGGUCUGAGAGGAUGAUCAGCCACACUGGGACUGAGACACGGCCCAG